rnacentral:tmRNA from 1 species
ACAUUGGGGCUGAUUCUGGAUUCGACGGGAUUUGCGAAACCCAAGGUGCAUGCCGAGGGGCGGUUGGCCUCGUAAAAAGCCGCAAAAAAUAGUCGCAAACGACGAAAACUACGCUUUAGCAGCUUAAUAACCUGCUUAGAGCCCUCUCUCCCUAGCCUCCGCUCUUAGGACGGGGAUCAAGAGAGGUCAAACCCAAAAGAGAUCGCGUGGAAGCCCUGCCUGGGGUUGAAGCGUUAAAACUUAAUCAGGCUAGUUUGUUAGUGGCGUGUCCGUCCGCAGCUGGCAAGCGAAUGUAAAGACUGACUAAGCAUGUAGUACCGAGGAUGUAGGAAUUUCGGACGCGGGUUCAACUCCCGCCAGCUCCAC